rnacentral:lncRNA from 1 species
AUCUCUUUGUGGUCCUGUUGUGGAUGAAGUUAAGGUGACCCCUGUUGCUUAGAAGUACACAGAGCUUUUGUAAUGGUCAAUAGAGUUUUUUGCAAUGCUAAUUUCAUACUUAUUAAGCUACCACUGUGAGGCAAUUGCUGUAUUUUACCUAUGUGAUUGCUUUAAACUAUGAAUUAGAUGCCUGCUGUGAGACUUGUGUACUAUUGCUUUUAAGGAAGUGUGGAUCUAGUUGAACUUCCUCUCCUUUACUAUGUGCACUUUGAUCUUGAUUCUUAGAUAGUCAAGAAGUAAUAUAUAAAAUUGUACUACUAUAUUUCAAACUUUUCAUGUUUCUUGAAGGAUGAAAUAUAAAUGAGUUAGUACCCCAAAAUCCGUCUAAAUUAUAUAACUUUUGUGUGAUGUCUACUUCUAUCGCAUGUUUCCGAAAAUCCCCCUAAACUAUAUGAUGGUUGAAGCAUUCGCUGCUAAAGAAACAUUCAAAGUUCCCUUCAAGUCACAAGGAAAAGGCAGCUUUAAGACUGUUAGUUUCAAGUUCACAGCUAUCGCAGACAGGACAAGAAUUACUUUCUACAGCUCUUAUUACCAUACAAAGAUCAAUGACUAUGGAUCUCUUUGUGGUCCUGUUGUGGAUGAAGUUAAGGUGACCCCUGUUGCUUAGAAGUACACAGAGCUUUUGUAAUGGUCAAUAGAGUUUUUUGCAAUGCUAAUUUCAUACUUAUUAAGCUACCACUGUGAGGCAAUUGCUGUAUUUUACCUAUGUGAUUGCUUUAAACUAUGAAUUAGAUGCCUGCUGUGAGACUUGUGUACUAUUGCUUUUAAGGAAGUGUGGAUCUAGUUGAACUUCCUCUCCUUUACUAUGUGCACUUUGAUCUUGAUUCUUAGAUAGUCAAGAAGUAAUAUAUAAAAUUGUACUACUAUAUUUCAAACUUUUCAUGUUUCUUGAAGGAUGAAAUAUAAAUGAGUUAGUACCCCAAAAUCCGUCUAAAUUAUAUAACUUUUGUGUGAUGUCUACUUCUAUCGCAUGUUUCCGAAAAUCCCCCUAAACUAUAUCCCCCUUCAUAAUAAAAUCCCCUCGUCGCUUAUGUGACAUUAUGUGUGUUAAUAAAUUGCCCAAGAGCGCGUGAAGGCUAAAUAAACCCCCAUUAAAAUGGCGUGUCUAACAGCUAAUUAGCCCUUCUUUUUUGAAAUUUAUAUUUCUUUUUAUUUUCUCCUCUUUUUCUUUAUAUUUCACCUUCCUUAUUUUCUUCACCUUUCUUCAUUUGAAUCCAUCUGAAAUUUUCUCUCUUUAUCAUUUUUGAUUUUUUUCUUAUCUUUCUCGUUUUACCCGUGUGUAGCUAUCUUCUUUAACAAUUUAGGUAUCUCCUUUCAACAAUCUUCACAAUUCAGGUCUAUCAUAACCCUAAUCUUCUAUAUCGAAUUAGGAGCAGAAACCCUAGUUUUUAUCCUGCUUUUCGAAUGGAAGCAAGAAUAGACAAUGCAAUCAAGAUUAGAACCAAGAUUAAUUAAGAAAAUCGCUACUGAGUGUAGCCAUUCUUUGAUGAGAGCAAAAAGAGAAAAUGAGUUUUUUACAAUUGACCCACUAGUUUUAACCCUAGCCUCCUUUUUUAUUUUUAGUAAAUUUUUAUAAUGAUAUAAUAAAGUGUACUAAAAUCUUAAUUAAGUCUGUUUUUAGAUUAAGAUAAAGAAAUAUUCAUGUAGAUUGUCACAUGGCAGAUUUUAAAAAUAAUUUCGAGAGUGUAUUACAUGCACUAGUAAGAAUGCGACGAGGGAGCUUAUUAUGAAGGGAGAUAUAUUUUAGGGGGUCUUCGGGGACAUGUGAUAGUUUAUGUAGGCAACUGACAAAGAUUGUAUAGUUUAGACGGGUUUUAGGAUAUUAACUCAAUGUAAAUUACAUUACUAAUCUUCUCACUUUAGUCACUUAGUUGGAUUUUUUUUUCUUUCUUUUGUUAUACCCUUUCUAUCUAAUUUUUCUGGUCACCGUACAAUCUCACAAUCCCUUUGUCAGGAAUAUACCUCUAAUAAAUUCCAACUCCUCUUCAAACGCAUACCCCUAAAGUGUUUAUGGCUUAUGGCCUUCCUAAAAAAGAAAAAUUGUCUUUUCAUAAAAAGCUUAACAGGCUUGUAUAUAUUCUGCUCUGUUCUCUUCAGUGGCUGCACCCCAGACUAGUCAGAAAAAACUAAUUUCAAGGGGUAAAGUGAAAUAAAUCACUCUUUAGGUUUUAGUAGGGAUGACAAAUGGGUUGAUUUGACAGAAUUUGGGCGGGUCAAGAUGAGUUAGGUCAAUAAAUAAGUCAUUGCCCAACUCAGCCCAAAACAUACUUCGUCUAAGAUGGGCUGGNNNNNNNNNNNNNNNNNNNNNNNNNGGGGUAGGGUUGUAGGGUGGUGCAGAAAAAUAAAAAAUUAAAAUUAAAAAUACAAAAAUAAAAGUAAAUAUUUUUUUAAGGGGGUUUGCGCGAGAAAAUUCUCGUUGGAUUUUCUUUUGUAGGAAUUGAUUGCAAGAAGAAUAUUGCUAACGUCUCACUCUGGUUGUAAUGGUUGAGAAUGAAAUUUGUUGAAGAUUAGGAGAAUGGCUAAUACAAAAAAGAAAGAAUUACAAGAAAAUACAUAUGACUUCACACCAUAACAAAAAAUGGCCCAUGUUUUUAAGUUUUACCCCACCUAGCCCACAUUGUACAUAUUUUGAAAGCACUUGCAAAUUCAAAAUCUGUGUUCUUACAACCAUUGCUUUUAAAAGCUAUGGAGUUAAUUCUUUGUUCUCACAACCAUUGCUUUCACUCUCUCUUCUUCUCACAUCUUCUACAUAUGCUUCAAGGGGCCGUGUAUUUUCUGAUUCUCCUCUUGUGUCACCUGCUUGCAAUGUAAGAAAAUUGAAGAGUAGAAGUCCACCAUUGAAGACCAUUCAAAGCUUUGCUUUUGAUAAUGGUUUUUUUUUGAAUUUGUUAGUUGUUUGGAUCGGGUAUUGUUCCAAUUGAUUGAAAAUAUCAAAAGAAGUUCAAAAUUUAAAUUUGAGGUGAUUUGGAGUAGAUUUGAGCAGGAUUUGAGUUAAAUUUCAGAAAAGACACAAGGAAGAAGACGAAGUCAGUUUUUGUAUAAUUAUGUAUAAUCUUGUAUAAUAGUGUAUAUGAGUGUAGAAACACACCUUAUACACUAUUAUACAUUUUUAUACACCUUUAUACAAGCGUCUGUAGACGAAUUUCUUCCACGAUUUUCAGUUGCGAUUCUCGUUCAAAACUAGUCCAAAUCUCCAUUAAAUGACUUCAAAUUUUAUAUACAACCUCCUUAUACUAUUUCUAACAAGUCUAAAUAACACUCACUCCAAAUUUCUCACAAAAUCAAAUUCGAAAUUGAAACCCACAUUUUAAGCUUGUUAAAAAUCUAAUCUUCACCACCCAAAUGAAUUUGGUUUGUUGAAUUAAUAUUUGAGUCACGUUACUGAUUCAAAAAUUAAUUUAAAAGCUUCAGGACUCUUUUUUAAAAAUUAAAUAGUAAUUUUGAGAAUCUAUUUGAGUUGGAUGUUGAAUCUUAGCCUAUUAUUUUUUGGGCUAGUUGGUUACUGUAAAUUGAAAUAUAGGCUAUAAAAUUGAAAAGUAUAGAGCUCAGUUGUUCUAAUGUGAAAUUUUCCCUACAAAAAAUAAAAAUUGAAAAUAUAAAAAAAAAGUAAAAAAGAAAUAAUUUUGAGGGCGGUUUGCGCGGGGAAUGGGGAGGGGGGGUAGGGUGGGUGAUGCAGAAAAAUAAAAGAACAGAAAAUUAAAAAUAUAAAAAAAUAAAAUAAAAUUAGGGCAACUAAGUAAAUUUUUAGAUAAGUUGGGUUAAAAUCCCUUUGUUUUGGGUGAAUUUCAUGGGUUAUAUUUGAACUGCUUAAUGGGUCAGAAUAGGCUAUAAAAAAUAAUGGAUUAGCUUGGGCUCAGCCCAAAUUGACCCAUGAGCUAAAAUAUUUAUAGCUCAACCCAUUACUCUCUUGGCGGGUUGGCAGGCUGGAUGAGUUUAAACUCAAAUUGCCACCCCUAGGUUUCAGUUUACCUACAUUCUCAAUUUGCUUAGUGAUAAAGAAACACAACAUCAUUCAGACAAGCAAUUAAAAUUAGUACACAAUAGCCAAAUAAUGAAAAUAUAACAGAAGAUAAUUCCGACUUCUAGGGAAAAAAAAAAGGAAAGAAAAAUAAGAGAAACUUGUGCAGGUGUUCAACCGGAGGAAUAUUUACUCUAUUCAUUUCUUAUUAUGAAAUUAAUAAAAAGGAUGUCGCUUUGUCAUACAGUUUAUAGAGAAUCAAACUCCUUUUCUAUAGAAUGGUUAGUCCAAUGUACUAUGGGCUUAUAGACUUUUCCACAAAAGAAGCGAAUGUCCUCUGUUCAAGUCAUCUGCUUGUAGUGACAAUGCUCAUCUGAUACAAUGGAGAGAUCUCUGUCAUAAAAGAGAGCUCAGGAAACAAGGAUUCUUCAUUUGCUGUCAUCCAAAAUGCCCACAAGACACUUCUCCAAUAGAAAUUCAGCAUUAACCCAGGCAUGGUAUUUGUCUGAACAAAGUGUUAAAGAAUGCAAGUUUUGAUGAAACAAAGAAAAAUUCAAAUUCUAAGCAAGGAAUACUAGUGUUGCAAACUCCAACAUUAGAAAGUUCUUUGCCCUGCCAUUCAUCAGAUCCAUUUAAGAAAAUAUAUCCUUAUUGCCUUUGAAAAGGCUCAUAAUUUUACGUCAAAUAUCAUCCUAUCACAAUUGUUAAUCCGAGCAUCUUGACUAAUCCACCAGGCAGUCUAUCCAACCCACAAGCACAGGUCACCAAGUUAAUCAUGCCGACUAAAGUUGGACCACAUGGGCUCACACCAAUAGUUGUAACUAUGAUUCAAACCUGGAAUCUGAAGGUGGUUACUCCCUUGCUUCAACCACUAGACCAUUGACCAUCCCCUUGGAGACAACGACCAUUAUUAAUAUUUCCUAUAUGCUCUGUGUGUGUGUGUCUGUUGAGGCAGGGAGGAGGGGAAUCAGGGCAGGGUGAGGAGGGUCAGGAUAACUUUAGCAGAUGCAGAAUAAUGUACACAUGGUACACAUAAAGCCUGAUGUUAGUAUUGCUGAUGGAAGAGGAGCUCCAUCAGCAAUGGCAGAAGAGGAUCCACUUUUCAUGUACUUUUUGUGCAACCAAUCCGAUAAUUAGUAAUCUUUAACAGAUUCGAUAUGGAGAUCCCAUUAAACUUUAGUUGAAUCUAGUACGGCUAUAUGAGUUUUACAAACUAGGAAAAUAACAAGAGCUAGCAGAGGAUACUAAACAAUGCCGUGCAAUCUUUUCCUACGGCCUUCAACAGCAUGUCAACACCUGAAAAAGAGAAGGUAAACAAACUAGUCCAAGUAAAUAAAAUUCAUAACUUAAUAUCAAAAUAAAGUUUUCCUUGGUUAUUACUAAAGGAAUCUAUUGAAUGCAUGAACAAGUGAACAGUAAUCGUGAGGAAUGGGACAAAAACAACAGCACAGAGGAUAGACAAGUAUCUUGGAGUGCAAACAAAUUACAAGAGGUAGAACGCGGGAAAGGAAUAAUGAACUACUUAUAUAUACUUCUGACAAAGCAUCAGUGAAAAGUAGAAAGUGAAAAUGUCACCAGUUGAUUUCAAAGUUAACUUCAGCAACAGCUCCUUGAAAUCAGAACAUUUCCAUCUUUUACAAAUUCCAUGACAGUUUAUCAGCUAUCACUUGCAAAAAUAGGUCAAAAUAAUGAAGGAAAUUAAAAGAAUUUUCAUGUCAAAUAUAAAAGAACUAUUGACUUAGAAAGAGUUUAAAGUUCUUGACCAUUCUGGAAUCUUUACCAGCUGCCUGGCAUAUCACCAAAUCCAUAAACAUUCCUUUUUUGCUAUACAUAAAUAGGAAUUGAACUACAAAGAAUCAUGAGGAUUCCAGCUAAAAAAAAGUCUAAUUUCGAGGCUUUAGAAGGAAUUCUAUUUAAGAGGCUCACUUGAGCCUCCAAAGUCCACAAUCUGCCCCCACCGCCGGAAAAUUCCCAGAAAAGAAAAUAGAAGAAAAAGACUGCGUUAACAGACAAUGGAUUCCGAGUUGAGAGCACAUGGAAAUCAGGAGACAAUUAGGUCAAAAAAGAUUAUCCAGUGGUUCUCUAAUAAUGUUUUCAGAAGGGAUUCCCAAGGCAAGGAAGAUGGCAGAGGAUGUAUACUUCUUCGCAGGGGUGGCAAACGAGCAAGUUGGGCUGAAUUUAAGCGGGUCAAGAUGGGUUAGGUCAAUAAAUGGGUCAUUACCCAACCCAGCCCAAAGUGUACUUGAGCUAAGAUGGACUAAACAAUGGGUCAUAGCCCAACCCGCCCAACUUGACCCAUGUUUUAGAACCAUGCUCAUCUUGCAUAAAAAGGCCUUUUACCUUAAAAUGUGUAAGUUGAAAAAUAUUUUGCGGGUGGGGGUGAGAUUGAGGAGGGUGGGUGGUACAGAAAAAUGAAAAAACAGAAGAUUGAAAAUGCACAAAAAAAAGAAGAAGUAAAAUUAGGACAACUAAGUAAAUUUCUAGAUAAAUUGGAUUGAGAUCCCUUUGUUUCGGGUGAGUCUCAUGGGUUGUAUUUGGGCUGCUUAAUGGGUCAGAAUGGGCUAUAAAAAAUAAUGGGUUAACUUGAGCUUAGCCCAAAUAGACCAUAGACUAAAAUGUAUGUAGCCCAACCCAUUAAUCUCUGGGGAGGGGGGAGGGUUAGGGUGUAGAGUGCGUGGGUAGGUGGUGCAGAAAAACCAAAAAACAGAAAAUUGAAAAUACAAAAAAAAGGGGGUAGGGGUUAAAGUGGUGGUGUAGAAAAACGAAAAAACAGAAAAUUGAAAAUACAAAAAAAAAGUAAAAUUUUUUUGGGUGGGUGGGGGGUGGGGGGGGUUGGUGUUUGGUGCAGAAAAACAAAAAACAGAAAAUUGAAAAUUAAAAAAGAAAAAAAAAGAAAGUAAAAUUGGGGCAACUAAAUAAAUUUCUAGAUAAGUUGGGUUUGAGAUCCCUUUGUUUUGGGUGAGUUUCAUGGGUUGUAUUUGGGCUGCUUAAUGGGUCAGAAUGAACUAUAAAACAUAAAUGGGUUAACUUGGGCUCAACCCAAAUACACCCAUGAACUAAAAUAUUUGUAGCCCAACCCAUUAAUCUCUGGACGGGUUGGAUGGGAUUGGGCUCAAAUUGCCACCCCUACUUUUUCAGAUAGAUAGAGUUAACCAUGCUGGUUUCCUAGGUCCGCACACAACAUACAUCUAGUAUGGCGACUCUAUGAUUUACUGCUUACUGAGAGCAACAUUUAGCAUAUAACUCAGGUCCAUAAACCUCAUGCCACCAUCCCAUCCUUUCCAUAUCCUCUUCAUAAAAGCAGGGAAUGGAGGAAUCCACCCUCACAGUCAAGUCUCACAUUAUGAUAUGCAUGAACCAGAGAUUAUGUCUUCAAAAACCUUCCCCUUUGAGAUUUAUUUUUGGAAAAGUAAGCUGUUUUAUUCAGAAUUCUAGCACCAAGUUGAUGCUGUACGAAGCUACAAAAGCCUUCUCUGGACUAUUUGCCCUAUGUGUCAUGUACUCAAAUGAAAUCCAAUACAUUGUCAGUGUUAUUUACAAAAGCAAUACUGCACCAAAAACUUAUGUAUCGUAAGCAUUGGAUCUUUACAAAAGAUAAAACAAAAGAUCUCUCUAAAACAUCUUUGGUUCCUCUCUUACCAGGCUGUCCAAAAACUACAUGUAAGGAAUGGUUCUCAACCAUCUCCUGUGGAUGUUCUUGAGAAACCUUCUAAAUUUUGUUACUCAUAAUUUCUGGUUCUCAUGUUAUACUAGGGAAAUUAUAAUAAAUACACUUCAUACACAUUGCCUCAAAAGGUCAGUUACACAAGAACAUUGGUCAAUGAAAGACAACGUAAAAGUUAAGGGAGACUAACAUGAAAAACUCGAGGUUACCACAAAAGUUAAUGCUCAGUCAUACUAAAGGUUCCGGUAAAAAUGAAAAACUCUUUAAGAGGCAAGGUCAACUCACUUAUAAGUUAUAUCAAAUGCUACAAAAUUUCUAUGGCAUUAUACCACAUGUAAUAUUUAAAUAUUCAUUACACCCAGGGCAAUGUGAGCGUCACUGAACCUGCCACAUCAAGGUGCAAGAACAUAACAGUUCACCAACUCCUUUGGUAUGUAUGGCCCACCACGUAAUCCCACUCGCUAGGACAACUCUUCAUUAAUACUCCAGGAGAAUGAAUUUCAAACAGUGAAUGAUGUAGCUCACCAGCAAGACUCAUCUAAAUAACUAGUUAGUCUCAGAAGCAAAAGAAAAUGUCAAAUUGUAUGCUACUAAGUUGACAAACUGGCAAGCUCAGACUAUGAACUGAAACACCGAGUAUCUUUGAGGACAAAAGAACUAUUGAGAUUGAAAUGCAUCUGGCACAACAUGGUACAGUAGAAAGCCAAGAUGGGACAAGAAAUGAUUUCCAUAACUAAUUAACGAGAUAGAGCAAAGCAAAAUUUGAUCCAUACCUCCUGGGUGAAACUUCAUGUAUGGUGUUAUAUUGUAGACAUGGCCUUUAAGAACAGUCCACAUUGAAUCUUCAUUUUGGUGUUGCUUAACUUCAUUUAUUGAUAUAAGUCUCCUAUUGGACUGUCCUUUCAAUCCUGAACAACAGAUGCAAGAAAACUGGAAUAAGAAGCACAAGAAAGAGAAGUUCCACGGGAGGAAGCCAACCAAGUGAUUGACGAUAAUGCACUUUAUAUGUCAGACAUAGGGUAGAAAAUUACUGUAGUACAACAAGGAUUUGCAUGUUCCCUUCAUUUGUUUACUCUACUUCUGUUAUGGAGGGAGAAAUUUUUACUAGACUACCCAUAGUAAUGAGUACAAUAAACUUUUAACCUUGGUUUAAUGCAUCAAGGCAUCUGAAGAUUGAUUCCAAAGGACAUGCAAAAUGAAAGUUAACUGCAGAGCAAGCUGCAAUUUUGAAAGGUUUUACAAUUCUAUGUUGGUGAGUAAUAGCUACUUCCUAUUUCCCACUAAAGCCUGUUCUAUGCUUGAGGCUUAGACACUCAAAUGAAACAGGAUCAAUUUCAUUUGUAAAACAGUAAUAUGCAAUAUCUUUUAUAAUAGAACAGUAGCGUAUAUUAACACAAUAUCAUCUGCAAGUAUCAUGCACCACGGAACCUCAUUCUACACACAAUAGGUACUUGUCUAGAGUUUGUAUACGGAAUAAUAUCUUCACAUCAAAGGACUUUUUAGACAACCUAUACAUUUAGGGGACCCUUAAUUAACCCUAAAAGACAAACUAUUUAGUAUUGGAAUGAAAUAAUCCCAAACUAAAGUGGCAUAGGUUUAGAGUAUUCAUAUAUCUUGCCCCAAUUAGCUUAGAAUAAAGGCACAAUAGAUCAAUUGAUUGAUUGAUAUCGCAUGACCUUCUGAAGUAGUUCUUUUGUUCAUCGGAAGUCUUUUACAUCAAAGGUUUGUUAUUCCUCAAUUGGCUUAUAGGAUUUCCAACCAGCCUUGGUAUUAGAGCCCAAGAUAAGCUCAUGAAGUUAGGGGUUCAAAUCCUCCUUUUCGAAAGUUGCGCAACAUCGCAUGCGAAGCCUGGUAAAUGGACUAACAAGGACGAAGUGGAUCAACAAGUUUUCUGGUCCAUUAUUGGACAGGAUUUUUAGGCUCUGUUACAGCUCAAGCUAAGAAAGGAUACAAUAUCCAGCAUUAGACAUUCACAUAUUCGCUCCUUAUCUUGUGCUACCUAAUGGAUUUAACGAGCCAAAUCUAGUUGAUCUAUUAACUACUUUCAUUAGCAAACGAAACUACAAAUGCGUCUAGGCAUAGCAACAAAAUCACUUUUUUUACCUGAUAUAGAAUAAUGCAAACAAGUAAUACAUCUUUUUUGUUAUUCUGGAAGGAAUUCCACAUAUGAAGUACUAUACUUAUACGUCUAUUGAACUAUAACCUGUAUAAAACUCGGUGAAAUAAAGCCAAAAAGGCGAACUUGGAAAUGCAUUUAUACCCUGUUUCUUUUCUAUCCUUAUCAAUAUAUAAUUGGAAGAACGACAAAUUUCAGAAUAAAGUGCGGAAGAUUACACCAAGAGAUUCUUACCUGCAAGGUCAGGAUGUGUUCUUGUAAGCUUAAGCCAGUCCAUCUGGCUAUAACCCUUCUCAAAGGGAACCUUGGCUCGAGCUGCAGACUUCCUAGCAGGCUUUAUCUGUUCUUUAGAAACUGUGACUGAAGAUCCACCAUCUCUUGAUGCUACUUGACCAGAAGUUCGGCUCACUUGCUUGCGUGGAGAUGUGUCUAUAACAUUGAAAGACAAAGAACCAACUGUUCCCUCCUUCUUUGUGGUAGCAUUGCUGUCCGAUUUACCUUCCCAUGGUGCAUCAUUAUUUUGACUAAUACCAGCAUCAUUUGAGGGCUCAUCUUUUAUUCUAAUUUCACUAAUAUCUUGAGCGAACUUCUGUGCGUCUACAUUAUCAGGUCCACCAACCUAAAAAGCCCAAUUGAUCUUUCAGGUUCAACUGAUAAAAGAGGAAUUUAACAAGGUAAUACGACUUGAUCUUCAAGCAUGAAUGUCUCACAUGUCCUUCAUUACAUGGUGUUAUUACUUAUUAUCUCAAUUACCUGACAGAACGUGAAAUCAUCAUCAUUAGCCAUUGCUAGCUCAGCUGUGUAAUGACACCAACCAAAAAGGUCCUCUUCAAGGAAUCUGGUGAAAAUAAAAAAAUUAACAUUGAUAACAAAAGUCAGUUCCUCUUCCUUUUCCACACUCAUCAUUCUUCUAAAAUUGUUAAUUUGUAUUUAAAAGGCACAGUAUUGAAGUAGUGUUCUAUUGUCCAGUAGGGUGAUAUGAGUGCCCCAUAUAGCUGACAUUAGUAUUUGUAUUCAAAGACUGUGGUGCAUAGCUUUAAGCGACGACGCAAGAGCUUUUAAUAACAUUGGCUAAAUCAUGCACAAGUAAUGAAGAAAAGGGUCAAAAUUUUCACCUAUCAAAACAGUUUAACUUACAAUCAACUUGAAGAAACUCUACAACAUACCUAAAAUCAUGAAUUUAAAGCACUGAGAUUGAUCACAGUAACCAAAAAAUGAGUCAACUCUCAAGCAAUCAAUCAAGUUCAAGAAAAUCUACAACAGUCAUAAUAUCAUGAAAUCAAAGAACCACAUUAAUCACAUUAGCUUAAAUCCAUCAAAAACCCCAUUCUCAUCCCAAUUACCAAUAAUCAGUAAAAGGGUCAACUUUUCACCAAUUAUUGAAUCAAGUUAAAGAAUUCUAAAAUGGUCAGAUAAUUGCCACAACUCUUUAAAGACGAAUUAUCAAUUCAAAUUACAAAUUCUCAGAUAAUUCAGAAACUAAACAUAGUUAAAAAAUUGCAGAGGGUGUUAAAUUCACCAUUUUCUUGUGAUUCUUGAUGUGUUGUUUUUCUCUGCUUGCUGCUUCUGGAAGCUGACCUUUUCUUUUUAACUGCUACAAUGACACAAUGUUCGUUCAAAGAUGAUGGGCGGACUAGCUACGCUACAUUCUUGAGUUUCUUCACCCUUUUCUGAUUCCUUAUGCAUUUGGUGUGGUACCAUGUGCAUCAAGAGGAGUACAACCAACUGUAGUAUUUUUUAUGGUAAAUUGACAUUGUAACCCCUAACUACUUCAAACAUAAUAAACUACCCAUUUACUUCUUUUUUUUUACCCCUCUUGAUUUUGUUGUUUUUAAUAAGAGAUUUUACUUUUACACAUAAAAGAUCUUAAAAUAAUAUAAAGUAAAUUUUUAAAUAAUUAUUUUCUUAUAUUCAAAUUAUAAAAGGUUAUGUUCACCUAUUUCCUCGAUUCGUGGGAAGAAAAAAAUAUAUUGUACUCCCUCUACUUUAAAAAGAUUGAUAUUAUUUCAUUAUUCGUUAGUUUAAAAAAGAUUGACAUCUUUCAAUAUUUUCAUAUGAAAUUUUUAUAGCCACACUAGUGAUAUGACAUGUGGCACACCACAAGUUUCAAAUUUUUUACAGCCAUAUUGUUUGACAAAAAGUAUAGAUCUUGGUUCAAAUAAUUAAAUUUAUAUAAACAAGGGUUAAUCUUAGCUAACAAUAAUACCCUUAGAUGGAGCUCUUGUAGAAACAACAAAUACUAUGUAGAUAUAGUCGGACAGUGCAAUGGCUUACAAUUAAUAUUCUAGAAAUCAGAGGCAAUAAUGUAGCAUUCAAUAUCAAUGAAUAGUAAUAAAUGACAUUUAAGUAAAUAGAAUGAAUGAGUCACCCAAGAAAGGGUGGAAUAAGUGGAUGCUCUUUCUGACAAUGAUGAAUGAUAGACAAUCCCUUGAAUAUUUUAGUUAUUUUCGGAUCUAGUAGAAAAGCAUAUACAAGAAUCUCAGUGAAAAUGUGAUGUUUGUAUCUUAGUAAAUCAUAUUUGAUUCUCUUUCUCAAGUCAAAGUGUAUUUUUUACAAAUGAUAUCACCUAUCACCUAUCAUUGUGUCUUUUUGUAUUCGAAAAAUAUCCUGAAAUAUCCCUCUAUUAUUAGAAAUUAUUUAAAUUACCCUCCAUUAUAUUAUUGGAUCAGAAAAACCCUACCGUCUCACUAUCAAACACAUAUACCCCUUCUUUGACGGACUAGACAUGUUACAUGCAUCCAAGGCUCAUGGUCCAUCUAGCUUAAGUUAGACUUGACCCACCCCAUUACCCAAUACCUGAGUCGUUAAAUUUGACUCUCACUAACAAAUUCAAAUCGCCUCAUUACAUGACAGUAACUCCAUUGUUAAUCAGAAAUCUGGCAUGGAUCGUUUAUAUAAAGAUGGUUCAAUCACUUAUUUAUAUACUUAUACAUUGUGGGAGUUAGUUAUUACAUGGAUCAACAAUUGGAAGAGGACAGUGAGAUAAAACUCCAUUUCUGAUUUUGAGAACUAGAAGAAAGCAAAGGACAUGCCAUAACAGAUUGCAACCAACGUUGAUUGUCCAGCAAUAGAAAACCAGAUGAUUGACAUGAUGGAUCUAGUUAUUCCAUGACCAAAGUCCAAUUAUUCCAUGCUGAAAAUGAAGAUGACGACAACUUUGAGGAAUAAGAUGAUUCCCAUUAAGAGUGCAAUAUUGGUUAUUUUUUUGGAAAUAUUCAAAAUUGGACCAACGCUUGUCGUGUACGAGGACCUAAUCGAGAUAACAAUCGCCAUUGAGAACCUCAACAACGGUAUUGGCAAUGGUGGUGGUUUUACCAAUGCCAUCUUUGUGGGGGCAAUGAUGACAACUUUUGGGGUUUAUCUAACGAGCCGAGGUUACGGUUGUACUAGAGGAUGAAAUGGAUGGAAGGGUAGAAGUUUCUAGGAGGUUUGAGAGUGGGAAUGAGUUUUAGGGUUUUGAGAGAUACAAAAUUGGGAGGGGUAAUGGAGGAACAAUAGUGAGAGACGGGCUUAGGGUUACAUAGUGGCUUCAGAGAUAAUAUUUUUGUGUGGAGGAAAUGAGAGAUUAUACUAUUGAGUGAAAGAGAAGAAACUUGGUUGGAGAGGGUGAACUUUAAUGGAUUGGGUACCGGGUAAUGGGGCGGGCUGAAUCUAAUUUAAAACUAGAUGGACCAAGAGCCUUGGAUGUGUGCCACGUGUAAAGUCCACCAAAGAAAGGAUAUAUAUGUUUGAAUAUUAAGACGGUAAGGGUUUUUCUGAUCGAAUAAUAUAACAAAGGAUAAUUUUAAAUAAUUUUUAAUAGUAUAGAGAUAUUUCAGGGCUUUUUACGUUUUGAAUUUAUAGGGAACAUGCUCCUAAAAAACCUAAUAAUACAAGUGUAGAGAAUAUCUACUAGAAUAUUCUCUUUAAUACCCUAGCUUGAAACUAGCCAUUAUAACUCCUUCAAAAGUACUCGACCUCGACCCUUGUUAACUCUUCGACCUCAAACUUUGCCGCUUCUUGAGCCAUUUCAACAACCGACGACUUGGGAGCUCUUCCCCUAGUAGUAUCUUGGCUUCAAUAUUCUAACGAUAGAUUUUGACCCAUACAGUUAGUCCCUCCGCUUAUUGAGGUCGACUUCAGGUGGGUUCGAUGAACGAAUCUUGUUCUUUGUGGUCGAAACAAUCGAGCGAGCUAUGCAGCUCGUGGUGCUUUUGGUGAACUGGCAGCAUGGCCCUACGUGGGCCGCACAUUUCAAACGCUUCGAUUUUCCCAGGCGAUUUGCUGAAAUCAUGCCGUUUACGAGUUAGGAUGAUAUCAUGACGUCAUGCGUCAUUAUGAUGUAUAUUUUCAAUGCGUUGCUUCAUUUCGCCUGUGAUCUCUGAUUAAAAAGCUACCGCUUCAGUAUUGGUGCCAGUAAUGAUGAACCAUUUUUGGCUCUGGUGCCAAGACCCUUAUAAAUAGAGUUAUUUGGAUGCGAUUUUGAGGUUUAAUUUUUCUGUUGUUUCGAAAUCCCAUAUUUUUCUCUUGCUCUCUUCUUGCUUCGAAGUUCUCUUCUCUGUUCUAGUGAUUUGUAUUGUUCUUAGUUCUUCCUCAUUUGAUACCUCUCUUUCCUUUAUCAAACUAUGUCUAACAUGCCUUUUGAGUCUAGUGAGGGAAGUCAUGUGGCCCCCUUAGCAGUGGUGUUUCCUUCCCAUAAGGAGAGUGCUCCUACCACCGUUAAGGAUGGAAACUUCCCGUUGGUGGAGGAGAUGAUUCCUUGCAACUUUCAGUAUAUCACCAGAUGCUGAACCUGGAGCCUUUCGGUCAGUGAUGACGGUGAAGGAAUUGGAAGAACUUAAGGCUAAGUUUGGCCUUUCUAAUCACAUUGAAUUAAUCUCGACUAGAUGGGAUACGGUGGGGGUCCACCCGUCUUAGGUAUUGCGCCUUCUACGUCUACCCAUUCCAAGUCAGCUACUCUCUCCCUCUCCUUCCGUUGGUGGAGGAAUUUUGUCGUUAUUAUAACGUUUGCCUAGCUCAAAUCGCGCCUUAAGUUUAUAAACUUUUAAAGAUGCUUACAAGUUUGCCGAGCUAGCCGGGGUCGAGUUGACACUUCGGCACUUAAUACAUUUGUUCGCCCCUAGCUUUUAUAAAGGAACGAUGUUGAAUCUUCGCCACCAAUGGGGAAAGUGCUUGGAGGUGAAGCUGGACGACAAAGUCAACCGCCAAUUCUGGUUCAACUUCUUUUUUGUCAGAAUCGAGAACGUGGUGGUCAAAUGUCGACGGUUUUCCUUAGGCUUGGAAUUAUGUUCAUAAGCACCUAAUUUCCUUGCUUGUAGGUAUCUAAUUUUUCUCCUGUGCUUGGUCGUGGGCUUUGACUUCUUGUCAUCUUCUUAUGCAGCCAAGACCUUGCCUCCUCCUUCUGUCACUCACAUUUCUGACUGGGUUGACCGGCUCCUCCCUCACAUCGCCGGGAUCCGUGAAUGGCCAACUUUUUUCAAGAAGUUUGGGCCCGCUCUUUCUCUGACUGGUAAUCCCCUUUUACCAUCAGUGUCUUAGCUUAUUUUUUUGUUUACCUUCGCCGAACUUUCCCUUUCCCUGUGUUUUCUUAGCUCCGGACCGGGGAUCUUCAAGGAGGUUGAGAGCUCCUGCACCCUCGUUCUGGAAGAGGAAUGCUACUACGUUCUCGGCUCCUACCCCUGCUUCGACUGCAACUGAACCUCACAUUGUCCUGGUCCCUCCUGUUGCUGCAUCUGAUCUGUCCCUCCUUUAGCUACAGAGACUUUAGCCUUGGAGAUAUCGACUUCUCCCUUAUAUGCUCUUAUAGACGAGGACGACGAACCUUUGCCCGGUGAUGGAGAUUUGAUGCCUCAUAAGAGGAGGGCCGUGGACGUCAGGAGAGAGAGGUCAGCGGCCAACGAUAUAGGAGACUGUGGUUUUGUCCUCCGGGAGACGACCACAAUGCAUAUUGGGGAGAGCCUAGAAGCAAGUCCCAAGGCCAUAUGUUUGGAGGAUAUGGAUAUACGACCGGUGGGGGAUGUGGUUGAAGGCGAGGUGGGAAAUAAUAGCCUGUUAUUCCAAGGUGCGUUGAGGCCUCAUCUUCCAGGGUUGCGACGAAUGCUCCUUCUUCAACUAAUGAUAGAGGGAAGGCUGUUGCUGAGGGGGAUGUUGGAUCUGAUUCCGAUAUGGAUGUAGACGAGCUGAGGAUGAUCGACGAGGGGCUUACUCAGCUUGAAAUGAGAUUGGAGGAGGUUCACAGACUAUUACGAUCCUGAUGGAUCACAAUCGUCUUGUGGACACCGAGAAGAUUAUCCCCUCACUUGUCCCUCUUAGUUAUGAAGUUGAGGGUACGACCCUCAAGACUAUGAAUGACAACGGCUUGUGGAAUAACAUUGUCGGCCUCGCCCUUCAGGUAAGUACAUUCGCUGUUAGUUGUUAUCCUUUGAUUUUUUUUCUUUCACUGUCUCUAACUUCCUUUGUUUGUUUUGUAGACGGUCGUCUUAGAAAUUGAGAGUACUCGUAGGGAGCAGAGGCGUAAAGAUAUCUAUGUGAAGUUGAAGGACAAGUACUUCAGAGUCCUUGAGAAGUACCGAGAGCUUUGGUGUCAGCUUCGUGAGGGCCGCGAUAUGCGCCAAUUGAGGGAGGACUUGAAGGCCAGUAACGAGGAGCAUGUGUGGAUGGUGGGGAAGUGCAGCGUCUUGGAGGGGAAGUUGAGGAGCAAGGAGGAAGAACUCGAGCUCAACAAAGGGGCCGAAGCUGAGUGCAGUGAUAUCCAAGCUUAGAUGGUUUUGUUACGAGCCCGUCUUGAGGAGUGUCAAUUUAGGGGGGAGUUGAAUCCUUGCUCGUCCUCGAGACAAUUGUUUUAUUAAUAAUUGUUGUUUCUUGUAGAGUAGAAAAGUAAGAAAAAUAAAAUUUUACAUAAAAUUCAAAACGUAUAAGUUUUUCAAGUCGCCAAAUCUAUACCUUGUUUCUGCUUCUGCUUUUAUUUGCCAAAAACUUUCAACUCCUCUUUUUAUGAACCUUUUGAGAUUGAUAACAUUAUUAUCAUAAUUUGAGUUUAUCAAUUUUUUGUCCAUAAGCUUGCCCUUCAUGUCAGUCUCCACUAAUAUAGAAUCAACACUAAUUUAUAAUAUUUUAGGACUUUUUCAGGCUUGUAAUGAUAGGCUUAAUAAUGGUAAGGUAAAGGGAUAUAUUUGUAGUGACUUUGUUCCAUCCAGCUUUAUUAUGAGAGCCGAUUAUUUUACCAAAGUAACUAUGUAGAACUCAGCACAAAGAAAAUAACUCUAGAGAUUGGGCUAAAGGUCCCGGUCUCCAAUUCCAUAAUUAAUAUCACUUAACUCAUCAUUUCUCUAAAUAGAAUCCUUAAAUUCAAGAUUCUUGAACCAAGAAUUUAUUCUACAGAUAUAUACACCUUGUUUUUCUCUUUUUUUUUAAGAGUGAAAUAGAACAUUCACUCCACAAGUAUUCCUUCAUCGCUUGCUUUAAUAAUCAUUUUUGCUCAACUAUAGUCGGAAGGAGUAGUAUCGAUCUUUUUGUAGGAUAAACCAAUACGGUGUAUCAAUAAAAUAUGGUUUAUCCCCCUUUUUUUUCUCUUUUUUUUCUUCCUUAUUUUUUGGCUCAAAGUUAGGUGCUAAAAGGGAAAAUAUAAAUAUUUAUGGUUAAAAAUAGAUAGGCUAAAAAGUGUGUCAAAGAAAGCCUAAUUUCAUUCUAAAAAUAGUGUUGUCUAGAAUUUCGCCUUGAUAGAUAUUUGGGGCAAGUGCUAGCAGAAUUUUAUUGAUUCUUCCUGUUGAGAUCAUAAUGCUUCUCAGUUCCAACACUUUCUCAACUUUAGAGAUACUCGUUCUUGCCUUCACAAAAAUAAAAUCACAAACUUGGAAGUUAUAUGUCAUAAAUAAAAAAAAAUUAUGUUUGAAAAAUAUGUAAACAUUUACUUUAAAACUUAAUAUUGUACGAGAACAAUAAUUAAGAACAAAAUAAAAGAUGUAUAUAUAUAUAUAUAUAUAAAGAGAGUGAGAGAGAGAGAGAGAGAGAGAGAGAGAGAAGAAAAAACUUGAAAAAGUGUGUGACUACACAUGUUUUUAUAUGUAAUAGACUGACUAAUUUAAGACCUUAUUAGUCAUUUAGUCCUGCUUUAAAUAUAAACCAACAAAUUUACAUGUGCCAACAUUUUGAAUUGAUUCAUUAAAUGGUUAAUCAACCAGUUACUUAGGCAUAUCGAUUACUAUGGAGUUACUCCUGUACAUGUGACUCUGUUUUUGUAGACGCCUUCAUGAGAUGUUCUGGUUCUACAAUAACCUGGAUAUUGACCAGAUGAAUUGACUAAACAUUUAAUUAUCCAAAUCUAUGUCGGGAUUAUGAGGCUCCAUUGCUUCUCCCUCAAUGGCUACGAGUUUUGUAUCUUAGUUCUGAGUUUAACAUCGUCAGCUCGACUUAUUAAUUGCAGAAUUCAUCAGUCUAUUAAAGUAACCAAUGGAUGUUGUUCAAAGUGUCUUCUAAAGUUCAAUUUUAGCCUGUAACCAUUUACCUUAAACUUAUUUCCUCAAUUUUUCUGAAUUUCAAUUGUCCCGUAUGGAGUGACACCUAUAACAUUGUAAGGACCUGUCCACCUGGAUUUUAAUUUUGUAGGAAUAACCUGAGUCAGCUAUUGUAAAGAAGUACCUUAUCUCCAAUUUUGAAACUCUUUGGUCGGAUCAACUUGUCAUGCCAUAUUUUUGUUUUUUCUUUGAAAAUUUUAGCAUUUUCAUAUGCUCCCAAUCUCAGUUCUUCCAAUUCAUUAACCUGAGUAAAUCGCUUUUUACUAGCAGAGGUUAAAUAAAAGUUUAGUGCUUUCAAUGCCCAAAAAACUUUGUGUUCUAAUUCUACGGGCAAAUGACAAGCUUUUCCAAAUACUAAUCUAUAUGGAGUGUUCCAAUUGGCGUUUUGAAUGCCGUUUAGUUGUAACGAUCCGACCAGUCAUUUUGAGAUCUAGCAUAUUAUUCAGCGGUAUGAGGCCAUGAGCAGCUUCAUUUCAGGUAGUAUAAAUUGUACGCGUAGUUGGAAUUAAAAUUCGAGGAGUUCGGAGUUGAUUUGGAAAGGGAAUUCUCAUUUUGGAAGCUUAAAGUGAAACAAUAUGACUAUGGGUUGAUUUUGAGUAAACGACCUCGGAAUCAGGAUUUGAAGGUUCUAAAAGGUUCGUAUGAUGAUUUCAUAAUUGGGCGUAUGUCCGGAUUGGAUUUUGGAUGAUCCGGGAGCAUUUCGGCGCCUAUUGUGGAAGUUAGCAUUUUGGGAAGAAUUUCAUAUAUUUGGGUUGUAGUGCAUUUUAGUGUUAUUGAUGUUCCGAGUCUAGGAAUAGCUCCAUAUGGUGAUUCUGGUAUUGGGAGCGCAUCAGAAAGUGGAUUUGGAGAUCUGUAGGUCAUUUUGGAGUCAUUUGGCUAAAGUUAGACAUUUAAAGGUUUUGAGAAGUUUGACCGGAGGUGGAAUUUUUGAUAUCGUGGUCGGAUUCCAAUUACGGAAGUUGAAGUAGCUCCAUAAUGUUGAAUAUGACUUGUGUGCAAAAUUUGAGGUCAACCGGACGUGAUUUGAUAUGUUUCGACAUCGAAUGUAAAAGUUUGAAAUUCUAAAGUUCAUUAAGCUUUAAUUGGAGUGUGAUUCAUGGUUUUAGCGUUGUUUGAUGUGAUUUCAGGCCUCAAACAGGUCUGUGUAAUGUUAUGGGACUGGGUUGUGUGAUUGGACGGGGUCCCGGGGGCCUCGAGUGUGUUUCAGAUCGAUUUUGGAUGAAAAGUUGGUGUUGGUUUGCUGGUGCUGGUUUUGCCUCACACGAACGCGAGGGAAGAGACGCGUUCACGUAGAAGAGUUUCUGGGCUGGUAUUUUUGCCCUAAGCGAAUGCGGUGAGGGUCCUAUGAACACGUAGGUGGGCCUGGCAGUGCCUCGCGAACACGGUGGCCCAUCCGCGAAUGCGAAGAAGAAAAGAGGGAGUUGGGCCUAAGGCCAUUUGGCAUACGCGAACGCGUAGAAGGGAACGCGAACGCAAAGGAGCGGGUUAGCUGGCCUUCGUGAUCAAAGGGUUGCGAACGCGAAGUGAGAAUUCUGGGCACGAGGUCGUGGAGCUUCGCGAACGCGAGGGCUGUGCCGCGUUCACGAAGAAGGGUCGGAUUGGGUAGUGAGUUGUUUUAAAAACAAGUUUUGGCUCAUAUUAUCUCAAAAUCUUACAUGAGAGCCGAGUUUAGGGCAAUUUUGGAGGAGCUUCUUCAUUACCAUCACUAGGUAAGUGAUUUCUUUCCAUUUGUGAGUUAAAUACAUGAAUUAUACAUGGAUUGGAACAUGGAAAUUAGUAGAAAUUAUGGGUUUUGGUAGAAGACAUAAGAAUUGGUAUUUUUAGAUUUUGACCACGAAAUUGGACACGGAAUUUAGAAUAAAUUAUAAAUUUGAGUUCAUGGGACUAUGGGUAAAGUUUAUCUUCGAAAAAUUUCGGAAUCAGGGUACGUGAGUCCAAGGGUAAUUUUUAUUGACUUUUCGAUCAGGGUUAGAAAUUAUUAUAAAUUGGAUUAUAAUGAGUAUUCGAGCGUAUGUUAAUGGGUUUGCAUAAUUAUUGGAUAACUUUGGAGUGUUGGGCAUCGAUUCAAGUUGUUUGAAGGGCUCGGAAGCCGAUUAUGAAACUUCGGAGCGAAGUAAGUCUCCUUUCUAACCUUAUAAGAGGGAAUUAACCCCCUAGGUGAAAUAAUUUAAUAUGUGCUCCUAUUUGUGGGGGCUACGUACACACGAGGUGAUGAGAGUCUGUGUGUAGCUACUAUUUAACUUAAGUUCGGGUAGUCUAGGACCCAAAAACAUGUUUUACUUAUAAUAUUUGCAGCCUAAUUGUCUAUUUAAAAUGCUUAAAUAAUAUCAAACUUGGUAAAUAAACUUCUAAAAGGCUAAACAAUAUUUUAUUGACUGAUAAAAGAGGAAUUGCCAUUUCCUUGGAUAAUUGCCCUUUGAUGAAUUCUUGAUUAACUGUUUAAAUGUGUUUACCUUUUAUGGAACAGGUCGAAUGCCUCAGUAGAUUAAGUAGAUGCAUCUAUGAUUCACGCCAUUCGACCCUCUGGCUAUGCACAGUUUAAAUAUUAUGUUGGAUCGGGCCGUACGACCUCGACAUGAUUUGUGCAUGCUUGUAUUGCUUGCCCUGAAAUUUAUAAAUAAUGAUAUUGCUUCCCCGGUCUGCGAUAAAUUGAUAAAUGAUGAAAUAUGAUUGGAAACCUAUAUUAUCAAAAGAAUUGUUUACUUGCUUCAUGAUUUCCUUGAGUUAACUGCCGUUUUAAUAUAUCCAUGACAUAUUAUAUUAUUGAUGGCCAUAGUAAGUGUCGGAGUCGACCUCUCGUCACUACUACUUCGAGAUUAGACUGGAUUCUUACUGGGUACACGUAGUUUUCAUACUCAUACUACACUUUCUAUGCAUUUUUGUUGCACAUGCACCUGUAUGUCUAGGGCCAAAUGGGUGCAGCAGCAUGGUUGAUAUGGAAACUUAGGUGAGCUGCAUCUCUCGAGACAACCCGCAACCAACAGAGUCUCCUUCAGAGUAGUUGUAUUUUCUAUUCCUGUCCAAAUUGUAUUCCGGACAAAUACUGUAUUCAUUUUAUUCUUCCUAGUUGAUGCUCAUGCACAUGUGACACUGGAUUCUGGGAUGAUUAUAAAUUAUUUAUUAUUGACAUGUUUGAAAAUAAUAUUAUCCAUCAUGAAAUUUUAUCUUUUUACUACUGAAUUGAAGAAAAAUUGUGAUUUUAAAAAUACUAAAACGAGGACUAAAUUGAGUAAUUAUGGUUGGCUUGCCUGAUAGCUGUGUCUGGCACUAUCACGACCUUUAUUGAAUUUUGGGUCAUGGCAACAUGGUAUCGGAGCACUAGGUCACUUAGGUCUCACGACAUGAGCACGUCUAGUAGAGUCUUGCAGAUCGGUACGAAGACGUCUGUACUUAUCUUCGAGAGGCUACAGGGCUAUUAGGAGCAUUUCCCUUCUUGAUUCCUUAUCGUGCGAUUUGAUUCCUCAGAGGCGUGUGCUUUAUUUCCUUCCCAUUUAAUCUUAUGCGACGUGAAACGCUGGUUAUAAAUCGAGAAUUGAGGAAUCACAAUGGUACUACAGACGUGGUGCAGGAUGUUUCUCCCUGCGUUUUGAUUGGGCCGUUGCCGUCGCCUUGCGGAAGGCCAUUCUAUCAAUAUCAGUAUUACCUUAUGUUUUGAGAUUUGGCAUUGAUUGUUAUGACGAUUCGUGCAUUGCUAUCGCACAGUGUGGUGUAAUGAUAGGAUGCUUGUUUGUGCAUCGAAGUAGUGAAUGACUUGGAAGGAUGUUUACUUAGUGCCAGAUUCAGAGAUUCAGUAUUUUAUAUCCGACAGAGAAAGGGCAACCGGACUAUGAGUCUUCAGGUUGGGGUUGAUGGAGUAACGAUACUUGGUAUUUUCGAGCAUGGUGGAAUCUUCAUCUAUGAUAUGGUGUCAUCAUCUUUGACUGAAUAUAAAGUGUUAAGUUCGCCGGUGUUAUGGUUCUCUUCAAUUCGCCUAUGAAAUAGAGUAUUAUGAAAGGUGCGGGAGAAGCGGCUGUCAGAGAUCGCAGUGUGCUGUGGUUUAGGAUCGAAUCGGCGUUCCUAGUAUUGAUGGCUCGAGAAAGAUGAUUUUCGGAAGGGUUUAGAGCUGGUGAUGACCUGUUAGUUCAAGUGCUACAGAGAUGGAUUUUGAUUUAAGGCAAUAACUGGACAACAAAGGAUGAGGAAGGACAUGUGGGGGGUGUCUUGCAGUGGUUAAACUUUUAGAAGGCCAAGUGUGAGAAGUAGGAGUCGAGUAGUUGCUUAAAGGUUGAGUUUGACCAAAGUGGGAGAGUGGAGGAGUACAUAUGGGUUCUGUGGUAGGAUGAUUACACGCCUUGAGAAAUGUGUAGAGAGAUUUGGGAUUCAUGGUGGACGGUGACUAGGUCUACAGACUCAAUUUGGAAUAUUAGCUGUUAUAUGGGGGAGAUUGGAUACAACAUGGCUUUGGAUUCGAAUAUGUCGUCGCACCUUUAACUGAUGUCAAUAGGGAGUGAAUAGGUUUGUACAACUGGUGAAUAGGCAUGGACCCGGGAUGGUUUAUUGGUUCCGUAGUCAUUGCACCUAGUGCAAUGACAUUGGAAAAUGUCGGCAUGUAAUUUCCAUAGGUGGAUUAUCUCCUGUGAGUAGGUCAGCGGUCGCGUGGUUGAUGGAGCUUCUAUGAAGAAUUCUACUGGCUAUCUGGCUAGAGGUUGAAUAUGUAAACGUAGCUAGUGAUUCACAGUGUUCAUGAAAUAGGUAACAGGAAGAUUUUGAGGAGUUUUGCGGGUUGAUUGUGAAAGAUCAUGUCCACAACGAAGGAAGAAUCUUCGUGGGUUUCAGGUUUAUGCAAUGGUAGCUUCAAGCUAAGUGGGAGAGUCCCACCGCUUAUGAUUGGAUUGUAUGGUUAUCUACUUGUGUGGUUUAUGGUGAUCGACAUAUAGAUGGGUUAUUACGACUAAGGAAAGAAAACAUCAGUGGUGAUUGGAGCAAAGGAUUUGAGGAAUGUGUGCUAUAAUUGACCUUAUUAAUUCGUCUUCAGGCUUUGGGAAAGUUCAAGAUUUAUGCUUCGUAUAGAGGUGAUUUACAAGGAAAGUGAUUCAGCUCAGUGCUUCUUUGAGAGGGUGUUCAUGUGCUAGAAAAGCCUUGGAGUUUGAUUAUAUUCAAGACCAAGUCAGAGUGGGUGACUCUCAACAAUGGUCCUAGGGGAUUCAAAAGUUGAAGUGUGGUGUAUGGGGAUUUCAAGUCCAUAAUAUGGUUGAGUGUCGAGCUUUUGCAGCGGAGUAUAAAGAAAGGGCUUGGAGUGUUCUAUGUUAUCUUAGGCUUGUAGUGUGGCAUUUGGAGGAUUGAGGACAAAUGACUUCGGAUGCAUGAAGAAAUUAUCAGAAUGAGUGUACUAGUUAAAAACGCAAAUAUGUGCACAAGAAGGGUAUGAGAUGGUUCGUGGGAGUUGAGACAACAUGGUCUCGUGAUACAAGGCCACUCAUGAUGAGUGCAGAUUGAGUUCGUUAUAGGUUAAAUGGAGUUAUUAUUAUUUCUAAGCCAAGUUAAGAAUCGGUCAGAAGAAAUCAGAUCGGUUAGCCAUGGUUGAAUUGUCAUAAUGGUGGCAGUGAUCAGUUCCUUCAGUGUGAUUAAAUUAUGCAUGUGAUUUGUGACAGUAUGUGUGAGGCUUGACGACCACCGUAAUUGGUUUUAUUGGAUGUACUCAAGUGUUAUGGCAUGCCAUGUGUAGUUGGAUCCGGAAGGGUUGUGGUGGUUUAGAACACUACUUGAGGAUUUGUGUGUUCUACGUUUAUGAGAAUUUAGUCUUGUGUUGUAGUGAUUCUCCUGAAACGAGUAAGUGAAAGGUUUCCUCGUAGUGAAGUGUGUAUCCUAUUAGUGGUUUAGGAGUUAUGAUGAAAUUCUUGGGUUCUCGCGUAUCGGUAAGAUAGGUGCAGUGAGUGGCAUGAAAUUUGAAAGUUAAGGAUUAAUGUCAUUGUUUGGUAGUGACAAGGAUGUCACGAGCUCGGAUGAGCAGGAAAGGGUUUAAAUGUUUAAAGUAAGCUGGUAUUGUUCUCACCGUCACCUAGGGUCGAUUGUCAUGUGUAAGAGGCCUUGUGUAUUGAUUUGCGGAUUCCUGAGCGUAUCUCACGUGAAGAUUGUAUAAGUGUGACAUGUAGUCACUUGAUUGAUUAAAGAUUUAAACCAAGUAUGGAGGUUGUGGUAAUAUCACUAAUUUGAGAAUUUAUGCCUAGAGGGCGCUCGGUUCAUUUGGUUGUGGACUGUAGGAGUUUGUUCUGAUUAUGAUGGCUGUUCUUGUGUGUUAUGGGAAAAAUGGGUUAUUAUGGAUCCUUGAAAGGUUAUUUGCCUAGUGCAGUGCGAUCAGAAUGGGCUUGAGGUCUGUGGAUGAAUUUAAAUAUGAAUGUGGGCUCUAUAUCAAGCUGGAUGUGUUCAUUUCAGCAUAUCGCUCCUUAUGGGGGAGUAUUCAGAUGUUGGAUGUCGUUUCGUCAUUGGCUAUUUCAUGUAAUACUACAUUGUGCCGUGUGAGUUGUGAAACGGCUUGAUAAAUUUCAUAUGUGUUGAGAUUCUGCAUAGCGAUGGCGUUAUGUGAGCAGGAUGGCUCUCGAGAUUCAGGUCAUAUAUCACACCUUAUAUGUGCUUGAGUUUUGUAGUGUAUGGCGCUAUCUGUAUCCCCGGGGAUAGUAUUAUGCACUUAGCAUGCUUGUGGCCGAUAUUCGAGUAUCUUGCAGUAAGGAGCAUUCUAGCUCAGUAAGUAUCUCUUUAUGUAGAUUUUAUGUGUGGAUCGGGUGGCACGCCACCAUGGGAAUAUUGUUUGGAUUGGGUUGCACGCCGCAAUAGUGUGAUGUUGAGUACAGUCCCCUAUAUUUGUUUCUGUGUGUUUGGUUUCCCAUUUUCUGAGGAAGGUUCAUAACACCUUCUCGGUGAUCUAAAUAGUUAUGUGGGUUGAGUGGUCUCUUCCAGAGUUUGUUUUCCUUAUGUAUCACGUUUGAGUUUGUAACUUAUUGGCAUAUUGUGGCAUCACAUGAGACUUCUAGGCAGCGCCUGGGUGGCUUAUUGCCUGAACAACUUAUACUGGUUGAGACAAGAUUAUUGGAUCUGGGAUCAGUGCGAUCAGAUUAUAUGAAGUAUAUUAGAGAGCAAAUACCAUUACUUGGUUCUCAAUGAGGUGAAGAUUCUAGUCAAGAGGAGAGAUUCAAUGAUUUGUUGACUUGGCAAUUGGUUAUGAAUUUCUGCAUGUCUCUUCUGUCAUGGCGGUAUUACAAGAAUUGGAACAAGACUUGUAUAUGUCAUGGGGUGCAUUGUGAGCAUCAGAUUCGAGGAAUGUAGGCUGUUAUGAUAAGAGAAUGUUAUUAUGGUCCUGUGAAUGAUGUGGUGCAUAGUGUGAAUUCAGCAACGGUAUACAGUCAUGGUCUGGUACAUCAUGUAGUGAUUGAUACGGUGUUCGUAUGUUGGAAACAGGUUUGGCAGAGAAUUCCGGAUGUUGGAAUUGGGAUCCAAGGCUUAUUUGCCUAAAUAAAAGAGAAUCUCUUUAGAGUAGCUCGAGCUAAUGUGCUCGACUGAGUUAUGGUAACACGGGAAGGUGCACGAGGUGUUAAAUAGUGAUUUCAGACAACUCCAACACAGUUCUUAGCACGUUAGAGGAUGAACGUAUGUUUAAGUGGGAGAGAAUGUAACAACCCGACCGGUAGUUUUGCGAUCUAGCGGUCGUUCAGCGAUAUGAGGCUAUGAGAAGCUUCACUUCAGGUAGUAUGACUUGUACGCGUAGUCGAAAUUGAAAUUCGAGGAGUUUGGAGUUGAUUUGGAAAGAGAAUUCUCAUUUCAGAAGCUUAAAAUAGGAAGAAUCUGACUAAGGGUUGAUUUUAAUAAACGACCUUGGUAUCGGGAUUUGAAGAUUCCAACAGGUUCGUAUGAUUAUUUCGGACUUGGGCGUAUGUCUGGAUUGGGUUUUGGAUGAACCAGGAGCAUUUCAGCACUUAUUGUGGAAAUUAGCAUUUUGGGAAGAAUUUCAUAAAUUUGGGUUGUAGUGAAUUUCUGUGUUAUAGAUGCCCGUUUGGGAUUCUGAGUCUGGGAAUAGCUCCUAUGUGAUUCUGAUAUUGGGAGCACGUCCGGAAGUGGAUUUGGAGGUCCGCAGGUCAUUUUGGAGUCAUUUGGCUAAAGUUAGAAAUUUAAACAUUGAGAAGUUUGACCGGAGGUGAACUUUUUGAUAUCAGGGUCAGAUUCCAUUUCUGGAAGUUGGAGUAGGUCUGUAAUAUCGAAUAUGACUUGUGUGCAAAAUUUGAGGUCAAUCAGAUGUGAUAUUUUAGGUUUCGGCAUCGAAUGUAGAAGUUUGAAAUUCUAAAGUUCAUUAACCUUGAAUUGGAGUGUGAUUCAUGGUUUUAGCGUUGUUUGAUGUGAUUUGAGGCCUCGAGCAGGUCCGUGUGAUGUUAUGGGACUAGGUUGUGUGAUUGGAUGGGGUCCCGGGGGCCUCGGGUGUGUUUCGGGGUGGUUUCAGAUCGAUUUUGGAUGAUAAGCUGCUGCUGGUUUGCUGGUGCUGGUUUUGUCUUACGCGAACGCGAGGGAAGAGACGCGUUCGCAUAGGAGAGUUUCUGGGCUAGUGAUUUUUUCCCUACACGAACGCGGUGAGGGGCCUGCGAACGCGUAGGUGGGCCUGGCAGUGCCUCGCGAACGCAGAGGCCCAUCCGCGAAUGCGAAGAAGAAAGGAGGGAGCUAGGCCUAAGGCCAUUUGGCCUAUGCGAACGUAUAGAAGGGAACAUGAACGCGAAGGAGCAGGUCAGCAAACCUUCAUGAACGCGAUCAAAGGGUAGCAAACGCGAAGUGAGAAUUCUGGGCGCGAGGGCUGUGCCGCAUUCGCGAAGAAGGGUCGGACUGGGCAGUGAGUUGUUUUAAAAAUGCAUUUUGGCUCAUUUUAUCUCAAAAUCUUUCAUGGGAGUCGAGCUUAGGGCGAUUUUGGAAGAGCUUCUUCGUUACCAUCACCAAGUAAGUGAUUUCUUUCCAUUUGUGAGUUAAAUACAUGAAUUAUACAUGGAUUGGAAUAUGGAAAUUAGUAGAAAUUGUGGGUUUUGAUAGAAGACCUAAAAAUUGGUAUUUUUAGAUUUUGACCACGAAAUUGGACAUGGAAUUUAGAAUAAAUUAUAUAUCUGAGUUCGUGGGGCUAUGGGUAAAGUCUAUCUUCAAAAAAUUUCGGAAGCAGCGAUUUUUAUCGACUUUUCGAUCGGGGUGAGAAAUUGUUAUAAAUUGGAUUAUAAUGAGUAUUUGAGCGUAUGUUAGUGGGUUUGCAUAAUUAUUGGCUAGUUUUGGAGCGUUGGACAUCGAUUUAAGUUGUUUGAAGGGCUUAGAAGUCUGUUAUGGAACUUCGGAGCGAGGUAAGUCUCUUUCUAACCUUGUAAGAGGAAAUUAACCCCCUAAGUGAAAUAUUUUAAUAUGUGCUCCUAUUUGUGGGGGCUACGUACGCACGAGGUGACGAGAAUCCGUACGUAGCUACUGUUAUGCUUAAGUAUAGGACCCAAAAGCAUG